UAGGGAAUCUUCCGCAAUGGACACAAGUCUGACGGAGCAACGCCGCGUGAGUGAAGAAGGAUUUCGGUUCGUAAAACUCUGUUGUUAGAGAAGAACAGCGCAUAGAGUAACUGUUAUGCGUGUGACGGUAUCUAACCAGAAAGCCACGGCUAACUACGUGCCAGCAGCCGCGGUAAUACGUAGGUGGCAAGCGUUGUCCGGAUUUAUUGGGCGUAAAGCGAGCGCAGGCGGUCAAUUAAGUCUGAUGUGAAAGCCCCCGGCUCAACCGGGGAGGGUCAUUGGAAACUGGUUGACUUGAGUGCAGAAGAGGAGAGUGGAAUUCCAUGUGUAGCGGUGAAAUGCGUAGAUAUAUGGAGGAACACCAGUGGCGAAGGCGACUCUCUGGUCUGUAACUGACGCUGAGGCUCGAAAGCGUGGGUAGCAAACAGG
rnacentral:rRNA from 1 species